rnacentral:rRNA from 1 species
UAGGUUUAUAAAAUAAUUAAGAUUGAUCCUGUCUGAAAUUUUUAUUUUGUAAUUAGCUUUUAGUUGGUAUUAAAUAUAAGUUUUUGCGUGUUGAGU